rnacentral:rRNA from 1 species
GACGGAGGAUGCAAGCGUUAUCCGGAAUUAUUGGGCGUAAAGCGUCCGCAGGUGGCUGUUCAAGUCUGCUGUCAAAGCGCAGAGCUUAACUCUGUACAGGCGGUGGAAACUGAAGAGCUAGAGUAUGGUAGGGGUAGAGGGAAUUCCCGGUGUAGCGGUGAAAUGCGUAGAUAUUGAUAGGAACGCCAAAGACGAAGGUAGCCUUCUGGACCAGUACUGACGCUGAGACACUAAAGCUAGGGGAGCAAACAGG